AGCGAACGCUGGCGGCAGGCCUAACACAUGCAAGUCGAACGAACCUUUCGGGGUUAGUGGCGGACGGGUGAGUAACACGUGGGAACGUGCCUUUAGGUUCGGAAUAACUCAGGGAAACUUGUGCUAAUACCGAAUGUGCUCUUCGGGGGUAAGAUUUAUCGCCUUUAGAGCGGCCCGCGUCUGAUUAGCUAGUUGGUUGAGGUAAUGGCUCACCAAGGCGACGAUCAGUAGCUGGUCUGAGAGGAUGAUCAGCCACAUUGGGACUGAGACACGGCCCAAACUCCUACGGGAGGCAGCAGUGGGGAAUCUUGCGCAAUGGGCGAAAGCCUGACGCAGCCAUGCCGCGUGAAUGAUGAAGGUCUUAGGAUUGUAAAAUUCUUUCGCCGGGGACGAUAAUGACGGUACCCGGAGAAGAAGCCCCGGCUAACUUCGUG
rnacentral:rRNA from 1 species